AGUGAACGCUGGCGGCAGGCCUAAUACAUGCAAGUCGAACGGCAGCGCAGCAGAGCUUGCUCUGUGGGUGGCGAGUGGCGGACGGGUGAGGAAUACAUGGGAAUCUGCCCAGUCGUGGGGGAUAACGUAGGGAAACUUACGCUAAUACCGCAUGCGCCCUUCGGGGGAAAGCCGGGGACCUGCGGGCCUGGCGCGAACGGUGGUGCCCAUGACGGAUUAGCUAGUAGGCGGGGUAACGGCCAACCAAGGCGACGAUCCGUAGCUGGUCUGAGAGGAUGAUCAGCCACACUGGAACUGAGACACGGUCCAGACUCCUACGGGAGGCAGCAGUAGGGAAUAUUGGACAAUGGGCGCAAGCCUGAUCCAGCCAUGCCGCGUGAGUGAAGAAGGCCUUCGGGUUGUAAAGCUCUUUUGUCCGGAAAGAAAAGCUUCGGGUUAAUACCCUGGAGUCCUGACGGUACCGGAAGAAUAAGCACCGGCUAACUUCGUGCCAGCCGCCGCGGUAAUAC
rnacentral:rRNA from 1 species